CCUACGGGACGCACCAGUGGGGAAUAUUGCACAAUGGGCGCAAGCCUGAUGCAGCCAUGCCGCGUGUAUGAAGAAGGCCUUCGGGUUGUAAAGUACUUUCAGCGGGGAGGAAGGUGUUGUGGUUAAUAACCACAGCAAUUGACGUUACCCGCAGAAGAAGCACCGGCUAACUCCGUGCCAGCAGCCGCGGUAAUACGGAGGGUGCAAGCGUUAAUCGGAAUUACUGGGCGUAAAGCGCACGCAGGCGGUCUGUCAAGUCGGAUGUGAAAUCCCCGGGCUCAACCCGGGAAUUGCAUCUGAUACUGGUCAGCUAGAGUCUUGUAGAGGGGGGUAGAAUUCCAUGUGUAGCGGUGAAAUGCGUAGAGAUGUGGAGGAAUACCGGUGGCGAAGGCGGCCCCCUGGACAAAGACUGACGCUCAGGUGCGAAAGCGUGGGGAGCAAACAGGAUUAGAUACCCCGGUAGUC
rnacentral:rRNA from 1 species